GAUGAACGCUGGCGGCGUGCCUAAUACAUGCAAGUCGAGCGAACGGACGAGAAGCUUGCUUCUCUGAUGUUAGCGGCGGACGGGUGAGUAACACGUGGAUAACCUACCUAUAAGACUGGGAUAACUUCGGGAAACCGGAGCUAAUACCGGAUAAUAUUUUGAACCGCAUGGUUCAAAAGUGAAAGACGGUCUUGCUGUCACUUAUAGAUGGAUCCGCGCUGCAUUAGCUAGUUGGUAAGGUAACGGCUUACCAAGGCAACGAUGCAUAGCCGACCUGAGAGGGUGAUCGGCCACACUGAAACUGAGACACGGUCCAGACUCCUACGGGAGGCAGCAGUAGGGAAUCUUCCGCAAUGGGCGAAAGCCUGACGGAGCAACGCCGCGUGAAUGAUGAAGGUCUUCGGAUCGUAAAACUCUGUUAUUAGGGAAGAACAUAUGUGUAAGUAACUGUGCACAUCUUGACGGUACCUAAUCAGAAAGCCACGGCUAACUACGUG
rnacentral:rRNA from 1 species